UGAGGAAUCUUCCACAAUGGACGAAAGUCUGAUGGAGCGACACCGCGUGAAGGAUGAAGGCCUAACGGUUGUAAACUUCUUUUCUGAAGGAGCAUAAUGAGAGUACUUCAGGAAUAAGGGACGGCUAAAUACGUGCCAGCAGCCGCGGUAAUACGUAUGUCUCAAGCGUUACCCGGAAUCAUUGGGUGUAAAGGGUUUGUAGGUGGAUAAUUAAGUCAGGUAUGAAAGACCGGAGCUCAACUCCGUGUUUGUAUUUGAAACUGGUUGUCUAGAAUCAGGGAGAGGUAAGCGGAAUUCUAAGUGUAGGGGUGCAAUCCGUAGAUACUUAGAGGAACACCAAAAGCGAAGGCAGCUUACUAGAACUGUAUUGACACUGAUAAACGAAAGCGUGGGGAGCGAA
rnacentral:rRNA from 1 species